CAUCAUAAGCAAAUAAAGAUUAAAUCACUUUAUAUAACCUCAAAGAACAAGAACUACGUCAUAGCUGAUAUCCUAAAAACCCACAAUAUAUAGGCAAAUCCAAAGAUUUUGCCUUCUGUAAAUUUCUUCUCCAAUUUCUUCUCCAAGAUAAGAUUGAUAAGAUUUUGCCUUCUGUAAAUUUCUUCUCCAAGAUAAGAUUGAUAAGAUUGAUAAGAUUUUGCCUUCUGUAAAUUUCUUCUGUAAAUGGCUGACGGGCAACUACCACUCCCACCCGUACUCCCUCCACCUCCACCGCCGCAACAACCUCCACACGUUCCUCACCUUCUGGACCACCAAGAAGACGAAGAAAGAGAGGAUGAUAUGCCAUUAGUUAUCAAUGCUACCCCAGCGCCUGAUGAAACCAAUGUCCAAGUCCGCCAAUUGGUCGCUAAUGAGAUCAAAAUUAUUGAAUUCGAUUCUGCAAGAGAAAAGGAAGACGACAAGAUGGAUAUAAAAAAAAAUAUGGAUGAAUAUAUCUACUUCGAGGAGAAUCUCAAAAAAGAAGGUAUGUAUGCUGAUAUGGUGGAUGAGCACGACGAAAUAGUAAAGAAACUCAAUGCAUAUCCCAUCGUUACUGUUACAAAUUACUCAGAGUAUAAGGUGCUGACCAAAGCUCUAGAUAUCGCUUACGAUACCAAGAUUUGGGUGUCGGAGAUGACUUCCCCAAACUCCGUUGAUUAAAUCAAACAGCUUCGCAAUGAUUCUCGCCAUCACUAUAGAAUCCUUUUUGCCUCUGAUCUCACUGCCGAUGAAAUUUCCGCUAAUCGACAUGAACUUUUCGACUCCAAGAACCCUAAUUACUCCUCAGAAUCCAGUGAUUUGCUUAUUGGUGACCAAUCUGACAGCUCAUGUGGCUAUUCCGAUGAAGACCUUCGGGCCGUUUUUUACGAAGCUAAAAAACUCAACAAGCCGUAGAUAUAAUAAAUCUAUAUAUAAUACUACAUAUACGUAAAUUGAAUAUGAAAUGGUAUUCUAUUAGCUGCCUUUAAUAUUUCGCUGGAUUCUAAAUGAUGUAGGAAAUCUUUUAAAAAAAAAAACAAGAAAAAGAAAACGAAAGUUAGUUUUCUUUAAAUCUUAAAUGGGAUAGUCAUAGGUGAUAUAUACGGAUUGCGGAGUAGUGAGUACCAUUUUGGAAAGCUUCCACUAGUUUUUUGUGAUUUUUCUUUUAAUCUUUGUUGCAUUCCAUUUUAUUGUUAGAAUGUCAAUAUGGCAACCUCAAAAAUCUUUUGUAUGACUUUGUGAUAUGAUAUUAUGCAACACUAGAUCUUUUAUUUGUCAAUUGAUGUAUUGUUGUUACUUGUUAAUAAGAGAGAAUAUUGCUUCUUAAUUCGCUAUAUUAUAACUGUGUAAGACAAUCAGCAACCAUAUACAGAGAUUUCUGCAAAAUUUUGAUGUUGGUCUUCUUUAUGGUGAUAUCAGCUUGAGGCCAUAUGCAUCCUGUCUCAUUAUGUUUACUGAUGAUAUAAUCAAGUCAAUGUUAGGCAGAGUGACUCAUAUUAUACGUGACAUUAAAUGGGUAAGAAGAAAAAGCUUUUUGUUGGUGCACCAAAUGUGGAUAAAAAACAGAACGAAUAUGAAUGCGAAGGAAAGUCGUAAUGUAAACUUUGAUCAAGAAACUUGUGUUUCCACUCAAUUUCUUGAACUUAAAUUCACUGACUAAAGGAUCUUAAUUUUCAAUCAAGUUAUGGCUUCACUCUCUUAGUCUUAAACUCUUUGGAAUUUUCUUGAAACUCAUACUCACUUCACUGGGCAUUUUAGCGAAUUGCCAAUCCCCCUAUUAAUGGCAACAAUACAAGUAAAAUUUCAGGAAAGUAUGCAAAAAAGGGUUGAUAAAUGGCAGAGAAUUCAAAUAAGGUUUAUGUCAGAGUUUAGCAUUACACAUCAUAGAUUUUUUUAUUUUCUUUUACUAUUGAACCAAGCCCUCUGGUUAUAUUGUGAUUUCAUCUGUAUUGAUGUGUUUGCCCACAGAUCGAAGACAUGCUAAAGAGAAGCUUUGCAGAAUUUUGAUUGCGAUGAAUUCUUAACCAACAGAAUGCAUAGCAGAAUCAGCCUGAUCAAAGUACCCUACACAGCACAGAUCAUCAGGUUUCUGAGAUGCUGGAAGCGGGCAAAUCACUGUUCAACAAGCUAAGCGUGGAUUUUGAAGAGCUAGUUCACAUGUUUGCAAGAUGCCGAUUCUGAUUCACUUUGUGAAGGUUUCUUAUUUCCUUCUGCUUAUGCUCGUGUUUAUAAUGGUUACAGGAUCCACAAGGAGCAGAUGAAGAAAUGGCAAGAAGAGAUAAAACAGCUGAGGAUGAUCGAUACAACCAAUGAGGAAAUGAAUGAUCGUCUUUAUAAUGCCAAAUGCCUACACCAAAAUGUCGAUAAGAUGGAGCUGUGAGCCAGGUUCAAGAUCUUCAUCGAUAGUGCUUUCGAUUGUGAGUCGUAUAUUGUUCUAAGAAACUAAUCAAGGAAAUUCCAGAAAUCGUGAUCUCAUUACCUGGUUCUUGACAGCCUUGGCCAUCCUGCUAAAGUCCUUCUUCAAUUUAUGUUUCUUUUGUUUUGAUUUUUGUGUUUCGGUUCAGAUUGAUCAACAAGCUGCUGAAUCACUUGGUAAGGGUGAGAGAAAACAAUCUGAUGGUUUGGAUGUCAUUACCUCACACAAUGCCCUUACCUAUCUAGCGGGAGUUCGUGCAUUUGAGCCCUUACCACCAGUGCACAGAUGCUGCAGCAAUGCAGCCUUUUCUGGUAUUCAAAAAGAAUAGAGACUUAAUAAUGUUUUUGCUGAGAAGAAACAUGGAAUGGCUGUGCUAAAGAGAUUGAUAUCGGGGUAGGUGCAGUGAGGGAGUUUCUCAAGAGAAGAUUGAAGAUGCGGUGUAUGGUACCUUGGAAUUGCGAGGACUUUUACAAACUUGGUUAUGAUAUGAAGCGACAUUAUGUAGUUAUGAUAUGAAAUAGCUAACAAAGUUGUUUUGUUUUGUUUCUUGAAAGAAAAGUCUUAAAAUGUAAAUAUUGGUAGCCCAAAUUCGGGCAAGAUUAAGUGGUGUGUGUAGUAAUGUUAUGUGCAGAUAAUUGAAUCUCU